GGGUUGUGAGGUUAAGCGACUAAGCGUACACGGUGGAUGCCUAGGCAGUCAGAGGCGAUGAAGGGCGUGCUAAUCUGCGAUAAGCGUCGGUAAGCUGAUAUGAAGCGUUAUACCCGACGAUACCCGAAUGGGGAAACCCAGUGUGUUUCGACACACUAUCAUGACAUGAAUACAUAGUGUCAUGAGGCGAACCGGGGGAACUGAAACAUCUCAGUACCCCGAGGAAAAGAAAUCAACCGAGAUUCCCCCAGUAGCGGCGAGCGAACGGGGAGGAGCCCAGAACCUGAAUCAGUUUGUGUGUUAGUGGAAGCGUCUGGAAAGUCGCACAGUAAAGGGUGAUAGUCCCGUACACAAAAAUGCACAAGUUGUGAGUUCGAUGAGUAGGGCGGGACACGUGACAUCCUGUCUGAAUAUGGGGGGACCAUCCUCCAAGGCUAAAUACUCCUGACUGACCGAUAGUGAACCAGUACCGUGAGGGAAAGGCGAAAAGAACCCCGGCGAGGGGAGUGAAAUAGAACCUGAAACCGUGUACGUACAAGCAGUGGGAGCCUACUUGUUAGGUGACUGCGUACCUUUUGUAUAAUGGGUCAGCGACUUAUAUUCUGUAGCAAGGUUAACCGUAUAGGGGAGCCGCAGGGAAACCGAGUCUUAACUGGGCGUUAAGUUGCAGGGUAUAGACCCGAAACCCGGUGAUCUAGCCAUGGGCAGGUUGAAGGUUGGGUAACACUAACUGGAGGACCGAACCGACUAAUGUUGAAAAAUUAGCGGAUGACUUGUGGCUGGGGGUGAAAGGCCAAUCAAACCGGGAGAUAGCUGGUUCUCCCCGAAAGCUAUUUAGGUAGCGCCUCGUGAAUUCAUCUUCGGGGGUAGAGCACUGUUUCGGCUAGGGGGUCAUCCCGACUUACCAACCCGAUGCAAACUACGAAUACCGAAGAAUGUUAUCACGGGAGACACACGGCGGGUGCUAACGUUCGUCGUGAAGAGGGAAACAACCCAGACCGCCAGCUAAGGUCCCAAAGUCAUGGUUAAGUGGGAAACGAUGUGGGAAGGCACAGACAGCCAGGAUGUUGGCUUAGAAGCAGCCAUCAUUUAAAGAAAGCGUAAUAGCUCACUGGUCGAGUCGGCCUGCGCGGAAGAUGUAACGGGGCUAAACCAUGCACCGAAGCUGCGGCAGCGACGCUUAGGCGUUGUUGGGUAGGGGAGCGUUCUGUAAGCCGUCGAAGGUGGCCUGUGAGGGCUGCUGGAGGUAUCAGAAGUGCGAAUGCUGACAUAAGUAACGAUAAUGCGGGUGAAAAACCCGCACGCCGGAAGACCAAGGGUUCCUGUCCAACGUUAAUCGGGGCAGGGUGAGUCGACCCCUAAGGCGAGGCUGAAAAGCGUAGUCGAUGGGAAACAGGUUAAUAUUCCUGUACUCGGUGUUACUGCGAAGGGGGGACGGAGAAAGCUAGGUUAUCCGGGCGACGGUUGUCCCGGUUUAAGCGUGAAGGUGGAUGACUUUGGUAAAUCCGGGUCGUCAUUAACACUGAGGCGUGAUGACGAGUCACUACGGUGAUGAAGUAACCGAUGCUACGCUUCCAGGAAAAGCCUCUAAGCUCCAGGUAACAUCAAAUCGUACCCCAAACCGACACAGGUGGUCAGGUAGAGAAUACUCAGGCGCUUGAGAGAACUCGGGUGAAGGAACUAGGCAAAAUGGUGCCGUAACUUCGGGAGAAGGCACGCUGAUGGUAGGUGAAGUGACUUGCUCAUGGAGCUGAAAUCAGUCGAAGAUACCAGCUGGCUGCAACUGUUUAAUAAAAACACAGCACUGUGCAAACACGAAAGUGGACGUAUACGGUGUGACGCCUGCCCGGUGCCGGAAGGUUAAUUGAUGGGGUCAGCCGCAAGGCGAAGCUCUUGAUCGAAGCCCCGGUAAACGGCGGCCGUAACUAUAACGGUCCUAAGGUAGCGAAAUUCCUUGUCGGGUAAGUUCCGACCUGCACGAAUGGCGUAAUGAUGGCCAGGCUGUCUCCACCCGAGACUCAGUGAAAUUGAACUCGCUGUGAAGAUGCAGUGUACCCGCGGCAAGACGGAAAGACCCCGUGAACCUUUACUAUAGCUUGACACUGAACCUUGAGCCUUGAUGUGUAGGAUAGGUGGGAGGCUUUGAAGCGUGGACGCCAGUCUGCGUGGAGCCAACCUUGAAAUACCACCCUUUAAUGUUUGAUGUUCUAACGUGGACCCGUAAUCCGGGUUGCGGACAGUGUCUGGUGGGUAGUUUGACUGGGGCGGUCUCCUCCCAAAGCGUAACGGAGGAGCACGAAGGUUAGCUAAUCCUGGUCGGACAUCAGGAGGUUAGUGCAAAGGCAUAAGCUAGCUUGACUGCGAGAGUGACAGCUCGAGCAGGUGCGAAAGCAGGUCUUAGUGAUCCGGUGGUUCUGAAUGGAAGGGCCAUCGCUCAACGGAUAAAAGGUACUCCGGGGAUAACAGGCUGAUACCGCCCAAGAGUUCAUAUCGACGGCGGUGUUUGGCACCUCGAUGUCGGCUCAUCACAUCCUGGGGCUGAAGUAGGUCCCAAGGGUAUGGCUGUUCGCCAUUUAAAGUGGUACGCGAGCUGGGUUUAGAACGUCGUGAGACAGUUCGGUCCCUAUCUGCCGUGGGCGUUGGAAGAUUGAGAGGGGUUGCUCCUAGUACGAGAGGACCGGAGUGAACGCACCACUGGUGUACGGGUUGUGAUGCCAAUUGCAUUGCCCGGUAGCUAAGUGCGGAAGAGAUAACCGCUGAAAGCAUCUAAGCGGGAAACUUGCCUCGAGAUGAGUCUUCCCUGGGCACUUGAUGCCCCUGAAGGGCCGUUGAAGACGACGACGUAGAUAGGCUGGGUGUGUAAGCGUAGCGAUACGUUGAGCUAACCAGUACUAAUGACCCGAGAGGCUUAACCUUACAACACCGAAGGUGUUU
rnacentral:rRNA from 1 species